rnacentral:lncRNA from 1 species
AGGUUUUGCUCAGACUUUCGGGACGUUUGGAAUUACUCCGUCUCGUCACCAUAUAACACAUAGCAGCAAGACCCAUGGGAUUUCAUCAGCCACUCACCAUCAGAGUCCUCAGUGGAAGCUGAGAGGAGCAGAAGAGGAAGCCAAGCAAGAGAUGCCAGAAAAAAGGGGGAAGGAAAUAAUGUGUUAUUUUGUUUGAGUAUAGGCAGGUGCAUUGGGUAGCACAAUCGCCUCACAGCAAGAAGGUCACUAGUUCGAGCCUCGGCUGGGUCAGUUGACAUUUCUGUGUGGAGUUUGCAUGUUCUCCCCAUGUUAGCGUGGGUUUCCUCCGGGUGCUCCCACAAGUCCAAAAAUACUGUAUGUGGUGACAUUGGGUAAGCUAAAAUUGUUCGUAUUGUAUGUGUGUGAAUGAGUGUGUAUGGAUGUUUCCCAGUGAUGGGUUGCAGCUGGGUGGCAACACAGUGGCACAGUAGGUAGUGCUGUUUCCUCACAGCAAGAAGGUUGCUGGUUCGAGCCUCGGCUGGGUCAGUUGGAGUUUCUGCGU